GUACUUACCUGGACGGGGUCCACGGCCGAUCAUGAAGGGCCGUGGCUUAGGCUAGUGGUCCAUAUUACACUUGGUGAAUGCGAUGGCUUACCAUCUUCCCAAGCGGGAGAGUGGAUGUCAUAAUUUGUGAUAGAGGGGGUACGGCCUCCA
rfam:Triticum aestivum genome assembly, contig: Triticum_aestivum_CS42_TGACv1_scaffold_471857_6AL